GACGAACGCUGGCGGCGUGCUUAACACAUGCAAGUCGAACGAAGAGCGAUGGAAGCUUGCUUCUAUCAAUCUUAGUGGCGAACGGGUGAGUAACGCGUAAUCAACCUGCCCUUCAGAGGGGGACAACAGUUGGAAACGACUGCUAAUACCGCAUACGAUCCAAUCUCGGCAUCGGGACUGGAUGAAAGGUGGCCUCUAUUUAUAAGCUAUCACUGAAGGAGGGGAUUGCGUCUGAUUAGCUAGUUGGAGGGGUAACGGCCCACCAAGGCGAUGAUCAGUAGCCGGUCUGAGAGGAUGAACGGCCACAUUGGGACUGAGACACGGCCCAGACUCCUACGGGAGGCAGCAGUGGGGAAUCUUCCGCAAGGGACGAAAGUCUGACGGAGCAACGCCGCGGGAGUGAUGACGGCCUUCGGGUUGUAAAGCUCGGUUAAUCGGGACGAAUGGUUCUUGUGCGAAUAGUGCGAGGAUUUGACGGUACCGGAAGAGAAAGCCACGGCUAACUACGUG
rnacentral:rRNA from 1 species